UGGGAACGUGCCCUUCAGCUCGGAACAACCCAGGGAAACUUGGGCUAAUACCGGAUACGUCCGUAAGGAGAAAGAUUUAUCGCUGAAGGAUCGGCCCGCGUCUGAUUAGCUAGUCGGUGGGGUAAUGGCCCACCAAGGCUACGAUCAGUAGCUGGUCUGAGAGGAUGAUCAGCCACACUGGGACUGAGACACGGCCCAAACUCCUACGGGAGGCAG
rnacentral:rRNA from 1 species